rnacentral:rRNA from 1 species
AUAGCGAACAAGUACCGUGAGGGAAGAUGAAAAGAACUUUGAAAAGAGAGUUAAACAGUACGUGAAAUUGUUGAAAGGGAAACGAUUGAAGUCAGUCAUACCAACGGGAAAUCAACCUUUUGAGCUUGGUCUCGUGGGUUUUGAAGAGUUUCAAAGCCUUCGGAUUCGCGAGAUUGGGAUCUCUUGGUGUACUUUUUCGUACGGUUAGUCAACAUCGGUUUUGAAUGUCAUAAAAUGACUGGAGGAAUGUAGCUUCGA